GACGGAGGAUGCAAGCGUUAUCCGGAAUCACUGGGCGUAAAGCGUCUGCAGGCGGUUUCCUAAGUCCACUGUUAAACCUUGAGGCUCAACCUCAAAUCUGCAUUGGAAACUAGGAGACUUGAGUAUAGUAGGGGUAGAGGGAAUUUCCAGUGGAGCGGUGAAAUGCGUAGAUAUUGGAAAGAACACCGAUGGCGAAGGCACUCUACUGGGCUAUUACUGACACUCAGAGACGAAAGCUAGGGGAGCAAAUGGG
rnacentral:rRNA from 1 species